UAAAUGAAAAAUAUCUAUGUAGUUCUUUACUGUCAGCUGCCAUGUAUACAAAAUUAAUUAUUGUGACAGAGUAAUAUGGAGGUCACAAAACUGCAAAGUAAUGGGAAAGAGCAAAUUAGAAAUCAUUAGGUUAGCUUAUUAAGGACAGUAUUCAAACCAUAGUAAGGGUGACUCUAACGUGCUGUAAUUUUGGAUCAAGAAUGGACUAGGUUGAUCUCUUUAAUAGUUUUUAUGGUCUACGAAGUCUAUAACUUAAACCAUUUAAAUUUAUUUGAGCACAUUAUUAUUCAAAAGCAGAGAAGUUAUGCUAAUAAGAUUAUUGUUAUAUUAAAAAUGGUGCUAAUUUGAGGCUUCUAAGAAUACAAAUGUACAGCUCAAAUGUUAUGUUCUCAUUAGUCACACAGUAGAGCAUGACAUAAAGUAGGUACUUCGUCAUUGUUAGAAACAAAAUGGCUUGAAUGAACAAUAGAUUACACAUUUUUCCAUUAGGGGAGGGGACACACUUGUCAGCAAAACAAAGUGGUUCUGAAGAAAACAUUAGUGACUAAAAAUAAGAAUGGAAAGUUGUUGCCUGUAGAAGGGGGGAAAAAUGUGACACAGAUGUAUUGUUAUUUGCUGGAUACACUUUGAAACUAUUUUUAAGUAUUACUUUUAGCAAAGAGUUUCUGUUCUUAGACUGGGUUUUCUUUGGGGAAAUAUGCAACGGAAGAGAAGUGGCAAGACUUCUGAAUGUCAACAACAUCUUACAGGAGAACUAAAUGAACCAAUCACUGCUCUACUACCUCCGUUCUUACCAUGUGAGAUUAAAAGUAGUAGUAAAGAAUUUAAGUUACAGGUAAAAACAUAAUUUAUAUCUUAUGUUUUAGUUAAUUACAUGUUAUCAGAAAUGUCUGGUUUACUUAUUUGAGCAAUGGUAAUAUUUGUAAUAGUUAAGCAAAUUUAUCAUUGUGUGAGUAUAGAAGUUCUUCUGUUGUCCAGUAUUCCUGCCAUGUUUUGCACAGUGUCUGAGCAUAUCUUCAUAUACCACCCUUGUCUAUAUUCUUGCCCCAUCAGUUGGUAGUUGGUCUUUGUGCAGAAAAUCUUGGGUUGAUGUUUUGGAAAAUACUUCUGCCAGGUAGCUCCCUGCUGUUAAGUUAGCCAAGUGGUUUUCAGAGGCUUGCUUUAUAACCAG
rnacentral:lncRNA from 1 species